CAGCAGCCGCGGUAAAACGGAGGGUGCAAGCGUUAAUCGGAAUUACUGGGCGUAAAGCGCACGCAGGCGGUCUGACAAGUCAGAUGUGAAAUCCCCGGGCUUAACCUGGGAACUGCAUUUGAAACUGUCAGGCUGGAGUCUUGUAGAGGGGGGUGGAAUUCCAGGUGUAGCGGUGAAAUGCGUAGAGAUCUGGAGGAAUACCGGUGGCGAAGGCGGCCCCCUGGACAAAGACUGACGCUCAGGUGCGAAAGCGUGGGGAGCAAACAGGAUUAGAUACCCGAGUAGUCCCUGUCUCUUAUAC
rnacentral:rRNA from 1 species